rnacentral:rRNA from 1 species
UACGUAGGGUGCAGGCGUUAAUCGGAAUUACUGGGCGUAAAGCGCGCGCAGGCGGUUUGCUAAGACAGGUGUGAAAUCCCCGGGCUUAACCUGGGAACUGCGCUUGUAACUGGCAAGCUAGAGUGUGGCAGAGGGGGGUGGAAUUCCACGUGUAGCAGUGAAAUGCGUAGAGAUGUGGAGGAACACCGAUGGCGAAGGCAGCCCCCUGGGCUAACACUGACGCUCAUGCACGAAAGCGUGGGGAGCAAACAGG